UUUAAAGGAAGAAUAACUAAUAUAUAAUAUGAAAACAAAACAAAUUAAAAUAACUAAAACAUGUAAACAAUGGAACAUAGAUUGGGCUUAUGGCAAGGCUAAGAGGCCCAACUAGGGCGCAGGCUAGAGCGCGGGUCGGAUCCAUUUGACCUGGUUCGGUUAGUAACAACAAAUGGAACAAACAUAACCUAGAAUCUAAACCGCACAGCUGCUUACACUUUAAGUAGAAUAGAACGCGCUUCAAGCAAAGAAAAAUCCCCCUUCCUGAUUCAUUCAUGGCAGAAAUCCCUAUUCCAACAUUUCAAUCAAAAUUGAAACCAAUCAGAAAUGAAAUCCUCAUUCAGAAACUAAACCCCAAAAACCUAAACAAUAGUAAAAAUUCCUCUUCUUUUAGAAACUUCAAUCGAAAAUGAAUCAAUAUGAAAGCUAUGGUAUAUCAGAAUUGAAAUAGACCCCAAACUCACCAUUUCACUCUCUGUAUAUGUUGAAAUCGCAAGGGCAAUGAGCAAAAAGAAAUUGAAAAGAGCAGAAGUAAAGUUUUAUGGAAGGGAAACAUCUUACCCCUAAGAACACAACAAUUCAAGUAAGGUCCUAAUUCUUUUGAUGUUGCUUAUGAUGUUGAAAAUUUGAUUGCUAUUCUCUGUGAAAAAGAAAAGACUCGGUUUUUGUUUCUAAAAAAAUUUCAUUUUUUUCUCUUGUGAAGAAAAUCAAUUUGUUUUCUGAAGAAAUAAUCUCUUCUUUUUUCUCUCUAUUUCUUUUGACAAAAACAAGUAUGUUAUCUCCUUUCAAAAAAUCUAUUUAUCCCUCUUCACUAUGGUGUCAACUCUGCUUGUUAUAUACUGAAAAAAUAAUGUUUGAUGUUGUAAGCUGAUGGAAAGAAAUUAGAGUUACUUUAAUUUUGAUGCAGAAAAAACGUUAAUUU
rnacentral:lncRNA from 1 species